GAAGUCGGUCAGGCAGCCGCUGGGCAAGAGGUGAAAACCUGGCGCCGAGAGGAAAGUCCGGGCUCCGCAGAGCAGGAUGCCGGCUAACGGCCGGGCACCGUGAGGUGACGGAAAGUGCAACAGAAAACAAACCGCCGACGCCUCCGUUCGCAUCGCCGACGGGGCGGGUAAGGGUGAAAUGGCGAGGUAAGAGCUCACCGCGGCCGUGGUAACACGGACGGUACGGCAAACCCCAUCUGGAGCAAGGCCAAAUAGGGAAGCAUGGGCGUGGCUCGCGCUGCUUCCGGGUAGGCUGCUUGAGCGUGCCGGUAACGGUACGCCUAGACGAAUGGCUGUCCACGACAGAACCCGGCUUAUCGACCGGCUUCCCCC
rnacentral:RNase_P_RNA from 1 species